GCUCGGAGCCUUUCGCCGCUUGGUAUGUCUUUUAAAUUAAUUAAAAUAAUAAUAUUUUAUGGAUCACAUCGUUAAAAUAACGCUCUGUUUCCUUGUUACAGAUAAUCACGUGACCGGCCAAUUCAUCCGGUAGUCGGAUGAUACACCUUUGCUAAUUAAACUCCAAAACGACUAUAUGAUCACGUGACUUAUGGAUUGGCCCUACUUUCGGAACCCUCUCUUUGUAAUUUGUAACUGUAAAAUAACUAUGUAUGCUUGAACCAUUAUUAAAAUAAAUGCUAACGCAUGGAUUAUA